GGGCCCGCACAAGCGGUGGAGCAUGUGGUUUAAUUCGAUGCAACGCGAAGAACCUUACCAGGGCUUGACAUACUACGAAUUUUCUUGAAAGAGAAAAGUGCCUUCGGGAAUGUAGAUACAGGUGGUGCAUGGCUGUCGUCAGCUCGUGUCGUGAGAUGUUGGGUUAAGUCCCGCAACGAGCGCAACCCUUGUCAUUAGUUGCUACAUUUAGUUGAGCACUCUAAUGAGACUGCCGGUGACAAACCGGAGGAAGGUGGGGAUGACGUCAAGUCCUCAUGGCCCUUAUGGGUAGGGCUUCACACGUCAUACAAUGGUCGGUACAGAGGGUUGCCAAGCCGCGAGGUGGAGCCAAUCCCGGAAAACCGAUCGUAGUCCGGAUCGUAGUCUGCAACUCGACUACGUG
rnacentral:rRNA from 1 species